rnacentral:lncRNA from 1 species
AAACUUAUCUAAUAUGUGUUUUAAAUUAAGUAAAGUAAAAAAAAAAAUUGUAAUUUCUUUUGGCAUAAUUAUAGUUGUUGUUAUUUAUUUUACUGUUUAAGUUUAAUCCUAUUCAAAUUAAGGAUGAUAUUUAGAUAAAACCUCUUCAAUAAUGCCAGUUUCAAAAUUCAAAUACUUGAGAAAAAAAAUCUACUCUCACUCCCACUUC